ensembl:lncRNA
CCUACUUUGAACAAGUACCAUACAGAGAUUGGGGUAAGGGUGAGUGUAGAUGCUAAUGCACAGCCACGUGUAAUGAUGCCUUGUCUACUUUUCCACCAGAGACAGGAUCGGCUUCAAAGCAACUUCUGUGUUUCUGGUACUAAAAGGCAAGAAUCCCUGAACGUCUGCAGCUUACCCAGAAGGAGCCUGGGAUGGUCAGUGAAUUUGAGACUGGAUGUCAACAUGGCCUGGGAGAGGCAGGAAGCAUGAGGUUUGGAUUAGCUAUGGGUUGAGUGGCUUUCCUCUGCCAAGCCUUUCUGCCAUGAUAUUUCUGCUUUGGAUCCAGCUAUCCAUGGACUUCUAUCUCUGAAACUGUAUCACAGGAUGAAAAACAGCAACUUCUGAGGAAUGGAAAGCAAACAAUUGGAGCCCUAUUAGUUUACUGAUAUUGCUGUGGCAAAGUGGAACAGCUCAUUGUUACAGCCAAGUGCUUCAGCUCAAGUGCUAUAGCUACAGCAAUGUAAAGACUUGAAAAUCAGAAAGUUACUCAAAGAGAUGGAAAAAAAUCUUUAUUGCUGGCUGGCUCAGAGGAGGUAGCCCACUCGGAAUUCUGAGUGCUGAGUAGAAAUGGAAGAAGCCUUAUAUAGAGAUCUACCAGGUAGGGGGAU